GCGCGUAGCUCAAUGGUAGAGCCAUUGCCUUCCAAGCAGGAGACGCGGGUUCGAUUCCCGCCGUCCGCU
rnacentral:tRNA from 1 species